rnacentral:rRNA from 1 species
UACGAAGGGGGCUAGCGUUGCUCGGAAUCACUGGGCGUAAAGGGUGCGUAGGCGGGUUUUUAAGUCAGAGGUGAAACCUGGAGCUCAACUCCAGAACUGCCUUUGAUACUGGACAUCUCGAGUCCGGAAGAGGUAAGUGGAACUGCGAGUGUAGAGGUGAAAUUCGUAGAUAUUCGCAAGAACACCAGUGGCGAAGGCGGCUUACUGGUCCGGUACUGACGCUGAGGUGCGAAGCGUGGGAGCAACAGG